UAAAAGAGUAAGAAACAGUUAAGAGAAGAACCACCCUGAUGACAUGAAAAUCAAGCAAUUCAAAGCAUACUAGUAAACAUUUUUUUGUGAUGUUUUCACCUAAUUCAGUUAAGGUGAUAAAGUAAAGCUUCACUUCGCCCAACAGGUUGAUGAAGAAAUGCCAAUAUUUGUAGACUAAAACACCAAGAGCCACAUAUGACCCUUGAGCCUUACCAACUUUAAACAAAUUUUUUUUAUCUUUCUUCUGUUUAAAAAAUAAAAAUGUAUUCCAUAAAACUUAAAGGUGCACAAGAUAGAAAGGGAAUUCUCUCCAAAAUUCCUGGUACAGAAGAAAAAUAAUAUACUAGAACAACCUGAUGCUACAAUUUCAUUUCAUAUUGGUUCAACUUCUGGUUCCUGUAUUCAAACCAUAAAAACAUACAUUUCCUAAAAUCUAGUCAUCAACAUCUAAUGAAUUUCCAAAGAGGUUAGAAAAAUUACUUUCUCACGGACAUGGUUGUUAUUGGCAUCCAAUUAUUUGACAGCAAACGCAAUCUAAUGAUUUGACCACUUCACACCUUAGCAUUUAAAGAUUUUAAUUCCUUCACAACUUUUGCUAACUAGAAUCUAAUGAUGAAAAUGUAUACACUUCUCAGCAGUUAGGUUAGAAUUUUUUUCUUACGAUACAUUGUUAUCCAAAGUUUUUGGUAUAGCCUUUUCCAAACUUUUGCUUUGUCAUUUGUGCUGGGUUUUUCCCAAGAGUUGUUUGGAGCCAUUUUACUAGCUUAUACAUCGGACUUUCCGUGGAGGGAUUUUAAUCUCCUACCCUGAAGAUUAAAGUUCUUCUUUGGGAACUUAGUUACUCAUGACUUAAUACUAAUGAUAGAUAACAAAGAAGGUGUCCUUGGUUCACGCUAUCUCCAAAUUGGUGCUCUGUGUAAAGAAGCAAAUGAAUCGCAAAGACAAAUUUAUCCACUGCCCUUACUUUUCAGUCUGUAUCUUAUUUUAUAUAUGCCUUUCCCCUCAAAUAUUUGGCCCAGUCAUUUACUGUCAUUUUAUUGGAGUGUGGUUCUCCCCUCUGAAGUCUUCUGGAUGAAUUUACUUCUCAAAGACCAUUCAGAUAGUCCAAGAUUUUCUUCACGUCACAAGAGCAACCAUUUGGUUGAUUUGGAAUGACAGAAAUAUCAGACUAUUCCAAGGCAAUGAUCGAAGUCCAGAAGAAGUUUUGGAAUCUCCUCUUUUUGUGGCUCGGUGGUGGCUGCUUUGUGGAGUCUUUGCUAUGAAUGAAACAAGAGGAUCAUUUAGGGGAGUGGCUCUAUUCGUGAUGAUCUUGGGAUCAGGGAUGGGUCUCAAGGGAUACUCAUAUUCUAGAGAGAGUAAGGAGAUAGACAAAUGUGGAUACGGUAGACAUCCCACACAACGCACCGUCGUCCGGUCAGCUGUGGUAAGGACAAGAAUACACGGGCAACUGACAAGAGGAAUCUGUGACAGUACCAAUGGAACCAAAAAAACGCUUCCGCAUUGAGUUCAUGUAUCACUUUCAUGUUUUACUAUUUUUUUCUCAUGAACUUUAUUUUGAUAGAAUUAGAAUGUUAGAAAUUUUCUUUUUCGAUUAAUUUUUCUUAUUUUAAAUUUUAUGUUUUAGG